UACGUAGGGACCAAGCGUUGUCCGGAUUUACUGGGCGUAAAGGGCUCGUAGGCGGCCAACUAAGUCGGAUGUGAAAUCCCCAGGCUUAACCUGGGAACUGCGUCUGAUACUGGACGGCUUGAGUAUGGGAGAGGGAUGUAGAAUUCCAGGUGUAGCGGUGAAAUGCGUAGAUAUCUGGAGGAAUACCGGUGGCGAAGGCGGCAUCCUGGACCGUUACUGACGCUGAGGAGCGAAAGCUAGGGGAGCGAACGGG
rnacentral:rRNA from 1 species